CUGCAGCCCGAGUAGUGAUCGUUAUUAUUGGGCCUAAAACGUCCGUAGCCUGUUUGGUAAAUGCUUGGGUAAAUCGUGUGGCUUAACCAUACGAAUACCGGGUAGACUGCCAGACUUGAGACCGGGAGAGGUUGGAGGUACUCCUGGGGUAGGGGUGAAAUUCUGUAAUCCUGGGGGGACCACCAGUGGCGAAGGCGUCCAACCAGAACGGGUCUGACGGUGAAGGACGAAGCCCUGGGGCGCAAACCGGAUUAGAUACCCGAGUAGUCC
rnacentral:rRNA from 1 species